rnacentral:rRNA from 1 species
UGGGGGCAGGAUGAAAAUUCUAAGGCGCUUGAGAGAACUCAGGAGAAGGAACUCGGCAAAUUAACACCGUAACUUCGGGAGAAGGUGUGCCCCGGUAGCGUGUAGAGACUUGCUCUCGAAGCGCGAUGGGGUUGCAGUGAAAUGGUGGCUGCGACUGUUUAAUAAAAACACAGCACUCUGCAAACACGAAAGUGGACGUAUAGGGUGUGACGCCUGCCCGGUGCCGGAAGGUUAAGUGAUGGGGUGCAAGCUCUUGAUCGAAGCCCCGGUAAACGGCGGCCGUAACAAUAACGGUCCUAAGGUAGCGAAAUUCCUUGUCGGGUAAGUUCCGACCUGCACGAAUGGCGUAACGAUGGCCACACUGUCUCCUCCUGGGACUCAGCGAAGUUGAAAUGUUUGUGAAGAUGCAAUCUACCCGCGGCUAGACGGAAAGACCCCAUGAACCUUUACUGUAGCUUUGCAUUGGACUUUGAACCGGUUUGUGUAGGAUAGGUGGGAGACUGUGAAGCCGGGACGCUAGUUUCGGUGGAGUCAACCUUGAAAUACCACCCUGAUUUGUUUGAGGUUCUAACCUUGGUCCGUGAAUCCGGAUCGGGGACCGUGCAUGGUAGGCAGUUUGACUGGGGCGGUCUCCUCCCAAAAGGUAACGGAGGAGUACGAAGGUACGCUUAGGGCGGUCGGACAUCGCCCACAAAGUGCAAUGGCAAAAGCGUGCUUGACUGCGAGACCCACAAGUCGAGCAGGUACGAAAGUAGGUCAUAGUGAUCCGGUGGUUCUGUAUGGAAGGGCCAUCGCUCAACGGAUAAAAGGUACUCUGGGGAUAACAGGCUAAUUCCUCCCAAGAGUUCAUAUCGACGGGGGAGUUUGGCACCUCGAUGUCGGCUCAUCACAUCCUGGGGCUGUAGUCGGUCCCAAGGGUAUGGCUGUUCGCCAUUUAAAGUGGUACGCGAGCUGGGUUUAAAACGUCGUGAGACAGUUUGGUCCCUAUCUGCCGUGGGCGCUGGAAAUUUGAAGGGGGCUGCUCCUAGUACGAGAGGACCGGAGUGGACGAACCUCUGGUGUACCGGUUAUGACGCCAGUCGUAUCGCCGGGUAGCUAAGUUCGGAAGAGAUAAACGCUGAAAGCAUCUAAGCGUGAAACUCGCCUUAAGAUAAGAUUUCCCGGAGUCUUGAACUCCCUGAAGGGUCGUCGAAGACCACGACGUUGAUAGGUCAGGUGUGGAAGCGCAGCAAUGCGUUAAGCUAACUGAUACUAAUUGCCCGUGCGGCUUGAUCC